rnacentral:rRNA from 1 species
GACGAACGCUGGCGGCGUGCCUAACACAUGCAAGUCGAACGGAGUUUAUUCUGACAGAGAUUUCGGUCGAAGACGGAAUAAACUUAGUGGCGGACGGGUGAGUAACGCGUGAGUAACCUGCCGUUCAGAGGGGGACAACAGUUGGAAACGACUGCUAAUACCGCAUAACGUAUUUUUAGGACAUCCUAUAGAUACCAAAGGAGCAAUCCGCUGAAUGAUGGACUCGCGUCUGAUUAGAUAGUUGGUGAGGUAACGGCCCACCAAGGCGACGAUCAGUAGCCGGCCUGAGAGGGUGAACGGCCACAUUGGGACUGAGACACGGCCCAAACUCCUACGGGAGGCAGCAGUGGGGAAUAUUGCACAAUGGGGGAAACCCUGAUGCAGCGACGCCGCGUGAGCGAAGAAGUAUUUCGGUAUGUAAAGCUCUAUCAGCAGGGAGAAAAUGACGGUACCUGACUAAGAAGCCCCGGCUAACUACGUGCCAG